rnacentral:rRNA from 1 species
UACGGGGGGGGUAAGCGUUGUUCGGAAUUACUGGGCGUAAAGGGCUCGUAGGCGGCCAACUAAGUCAGACGUGAAAUCCCUCAGCUUAACUGGGGAACUGCGUCUGAUACUGGCAAGCUUGAGUGCAGGAGAGGAACGCGGAAUUCCAGGUGUAGCGGUGAAAUGCGUAGAUAUCUGGAGGAACACCGGUGGCGAAGGCGGCGUUCUGGACUGCAACUGACGCUGAGGCGCGAAAGCGUGGGGAGCAAACAGG